AGCUGUCCAGACCUCCAGCUGCCCCCUGCCAUGACACGGAGGGACGUCCCCAGGAUUGAGCUGGCCAGUAAGGAUGGGGUCUCCGUCUCUUGUGACAUGCCCACCAGCCUCUGCAGCCUGACUCUGGGCCUCUGGCACCACGGUGGAUGGUGACUGCAGGGCCACCGAGAAGACUCAGCCGACCUGCCCAGGACAGAGCCCCACCUGCCGGGCCUUCUUCCAGGACCCCCAUUCCAGCUUGGGGAACUGCUUCUGGGUGGUGGACCUUGAACCAUUCCUCGGCCUGUGUGUG